rnacentral:tRNA from 1 species
GGAGGGGUGGCAGAGCGGUUUAAUGCACCGGUCUUGAAAACCGACGUAGGGCGACCUACCGUGAGUUCGAAUCUCACCCCCUCCGCCA